UAGCGGAGCUACUUGCUUUGCGUCUCUCCUCCGGCCACGCAACUUUCUUCUUGCGGGCCGACCACUCGGCGGCGGAGAUUCCCACGAACCAACCCGAAUCGAGCUUUCUGUCUCUUUUUCCUUAAUUUCUGCAAACGAUGCGGCUGCCCAUAACAGCGUGUUAGCAUCUGCAGCGUGGUCCGUCGCCGCCGCCUUCGUCUUCGCUUUUCAGCAGCCGGGUCGUCUUCUCGGUUUUGGUCAUCGUAAUUUGCAAGUUCCAGUUCCUGGGUCGGAGCCAAAUCGCAUUUUUCCCUCGCGCAUUUCGAUAAAACAGCGUCCUUUCAUCUCAGAAGGGGAAAUCACAAGCCCGGGAAAGCUUUUCGCUUUUGCCGGCAAGUACAGGGGAAAGAGCGCGCUGAGAAGAUCGAUGACCACCGAGUGUGCAGGGCGUUGGGACGGCUGGGUCAAAGAGGCACUCGCGAGGCUCGAGUCCCUCAAGAUCGUUCGGUCUCUGAGGCCCAUUAGCCUGUCGGUGCAGCGGCAGGAGCUCGGUGGCGAUGCGAGUCGAGGGUCAGAGUCAGGGAGCGGUGGGAAUGAUGAUGAGUAUGAGGUGUUCGAGGAAAUGAAACCGUGGGAUCGAGCUUCUGUCGAGGUUGACGUUGCUGAUUCCACGUUCCGCAGUUGGCUCCAUGACAUCCCUAGCUCUGGAGACGAUGUUAUGUGGGGAGAUGGAUUGGCUGAUAGCACAGUAGCAGCAAACGACGGUCAAUUCAAGAAGCUAAUUUUAUUCUCUAGUAAUGACUACCUUGGGUUGAGUUCACAUCCCACAAUUGGAAAAGCUGCUGCCAAGGCAGCAAAUGAGCAUGGGAUGGGUCCGAGAGGAUCUGCUCUGAUCUGUGGAUAUACCAAUUAUCAUAGACGUCUGGAAUCUUGCUUGGCAGAGUUAAAGAAGAAAGAGGAGUGUCUUCUUUGUCCUACUGGGUUUGCUGCGAAUAUGGCCGUGAUGGUGGCAAUUGGAAGCAUCAGCUUACUGCUUGCCGCAGGUGUACAACCUGAAAAGGAUGAGAAGAUUGCCAUAUUUUCUGAUGCCUUGAAUCAUGCAUCCAUAAUUGAUGGAAUCCGUCUUGCUGAAAGACAACGAAGUGUGGAAGUUUUCGUUUAUGGCCACUGCGACAUGUUUCACCUGAAUAAAUUGCUAUCUGCCUGCACGAUGGAGAGGAAAGUUGUUGUGACUGAUAGUUUGUUUAGCAUGGAUGGAGACUUUGCACCAAUGGAUGAGCUUGUGAGACUUAGGAGAAAGCAUGAUUUUCUCUUAGUCAUUGAUGAUGCUCAUGGAACAUUUGUUUGUGGAAAAAAUGGUGGAGGAGUUGCUGAGGAGUUUGAUUGUGAAAGAGAUGUUGACAUAUGUGUCGGCACUCUGAGCAAAGCUGCAGGUUGCCAUGGUGGAUUUGUCGCAUGCAGCAAAAGGUGGAAGCAACUCAUCCAGUCAAGGGGUCGCUCUUUCAUAUUUUCUACUGCUACCCCCGUCCCAGUUGCUGCUGCUGCACAUGCUGCUGUCAUUGUGGCAAAGAAAGAGACAUGGCGUAGAAGGGAACUAUGGAACCGCAUACAGGACUUCCGUGCUCUCACUGGAAUACCCAUCUUAAGUCCAAUAAUCUCUCUCAUUGUUGGUAGUGAAGAGAAUGCCUUGCAAGCAAGCAGGCAUAUGCUGGAGUCUGGAUUUCACGUGACUGCAAUUAGACCCCCAACAGUUCCUCCGAAUUCAUGCAGGCUAAGGGUAACUCUGACUGCAACGCACACAAAGGAUGAUCUAGUGAAGCUUACUCAAGCACUUUCCUGCUGCAUCAACUUCCAAGAGUUAUCCAUCCAUUGCCCGAAAGUCUAUGCUAGACUAUAAGGCAUAACUUUUUACCUACUACUCAAUCUUGUUUUCGGUUCUCCAUUCUUCAUUUCUUUCACAAUGAGCCAGUAGCCCAUGAAGGGCCAUUGAAGUUUGCCAGACAAUUACAAGUAGUUGACUAGAGAUCUAUAGGUUGCACCAGGCUUCCAGUUUUCUGGAAUCACGUUCUUGGCCACUAUGGUCUCCCUUGAGUAUUGCGAUGUCAGCUGAAUUGAGAACGGCGGUUGCAUCUCUGAGGCAGCGUCCAGCUUCCAAACAGCGCCCCAUGACUGUUGCAUCGACCUCCACUCCUCAGACCCCAUUGAAGCUUCCUUUAGUGAUACCGCUGCUAGAUCGCCAUCUCCCUCUUCAUACUCAACCAGCACUGCAAAGUAGUUAGAGUUGGACCCUAAAUCAACAUGGAAUGCUAUGGUUCUUCCCGAGUAAUUGCACGCAAUUCUGGAAAUAUAAGAAAUGCAUGGAAGGUGUCAACUGAAUUGGCAAUACAAAUCGAAACACUCACUGAGCCAGAACUUUUUCGGGUAUGUUAGAUAAGUUACCGAGCAUAUCGGAUUUUGAGGAUGCCAGCAUCCCGGAGUUUGACUUCUUCUCCUGCUUUAGCCAUAGCACCGAAUGCAGUCCCGCUGAGGUCGAAAUGGGCAGAAUCAGUCACACAGGGACCUCCGGGGCAACAGUCUGUGAUGACCACCCUCAUCGGUUUGCCCGAACAGGAUGGAUGCAUUCUUUUGGGACAUUUGAUCUACCAAGUAAAGAUAGAACCAUAACUGUAUAUUAGUAGGUUAUGCACACUGAUAUGAACCCCGACAGUUUCACCUCCAUCUGCUACAUUGAAGGUGAGCGUGCGUUGUGAAAGCACAGCUUUGGAAAAUCAAGAAGUUUUGGACCGACAGAAUCUCACUCUGUUUCGAUUGUAAUGCAAGAUUUUCAGGCAUUUUCAUACACUACACGUGAAUCUACUCUAACAUGUUUGCGAAGUUUGCAAAAUAAAUGGAGUGUACCUUGUAGCAAGCUCCACACUCUUUGCCUGAUUUGUACAGAGAAGGGCCGAUUCCGGUCACCAUGGAAGAGAACGGAGGUUGCGACACCACAUUCCCGUAUCCACAAGAUCCGCCUACAACAUGUCCAUUGUCCACAUACAUUGUUAUUCUCGCAUAGAUCAGAUGGAAAACAAUCAGACCAAGUCUCUGUGCAUUACAUACCAUCGCUACCGGCUCCAUUGGGACUUCCGUACCAGGUUGCUCCGGCCCAAGACCAGCGGGUUCCGAAUGUUGUUAAGUUCAAGUGCUUGGCUUUGAAGCCGAUGCACGUCUGGCUGAAGCCAAGCGAGGCUACCACACACAAGAAGAUCGAAGGGUGAAAUGGAAAUGAGUUAUGAGUGGCCAUGUUUUGUGUUCUCUAUGACAAGGACUUUCGCAUGUUCUAGUAAGAAAGAGCUUUGAUCGACUUGAAUGUCUGUAAACUCUCUACUAUAUAUAGGCACAGGAGGAGCAAGCAUUAGUGGGAAUCAUUGGUUUGGUUGCUCG